rnacentral:rRNA from 1 species
UGCAGUCGACGGUAACAUUUCUAGCUUGCUAGAAGAUGACGAGUGGCGGACGGGUGAGUAAUGCUUGGGAACUUGCCUUUGCGAGGGGGAUAACAGUUGGAAACGACUGCUAAUACCGCAUAAUGUCUUCGGACCAAACGGGGCUUCGGCUCCGGCGCAAAGAGAGGCCCAAGUGAGAUUAGCUAGUUGGUAAGGUAACGGCUUACCAAGGCGACGAUCUCUAGCUGUUCUGAGAGGAAGAUCAGCCACACUGGGACUGAGACACGGCCCAGACUCCUACGGGAGGCAGCAGUGGGGAAUAUUGCACAAUGGGGGAAACCCUGAUGCAGCCAUGCCGCGUGUGUGAAGAAGGCCUUCGGGUUGUAAAGCACUUUCAGUUGUGAGGAAAAGUUAGUAGUUAAUACCUGCUAGCCGUGACGUUAACAACAGAAGAAGCACCGGCUAACUCCGUGCCAGCAGCCGCGGUAAUACGGAGGGUGCGAGCGUUAAUCGGAAUUACUGGGCGUAAAGCGCACGCAGGCGGUUUGUUAAGCUAGAUGUGAAAGCCCCGGGCUCAACCUGGGAUGGUCAUUUAGAACUGGCAGACUAGAGUCUUGGAGAGGGGAGUGGAAUUCCAGGUGUAGCGGUGAAAUGCGUAGAUAUCUGGAGGAACAUCAGUGGCGAAGGCGACUCCCUGGCCAAAGACUGACGCUCAUGUGCGAAAGUGUGGGUAGCGAACAGGAUUAGAUACCCUGGUAGUCCACACCGUAAACGCUGUCUACUAGCUGUGUGUGUCUUUAAGACGUGCGUAGCGAAGCUAACGCGCUAAGUAGACCGCCUGGGGAGUACGGCCGCAAGGUUAAAACUCAAAUGAAUUGACGGGGGCCCGCACAAGCGG